ensembl:lncRNA
CCAAAGCCAAGUCUGCGUUUGGUGGAAGAUUCUCCUUCAAGUGUGGGGAAUCACUGGCAUGGAUGCCUUCACCUGGCUCUUCAAGACAUGUGGAUGCCAGCUCUGCUCCAGCAUAAUCCCUUUUCAGAAAGACAUCAUCCCAUAAGCCCUGGCCAUCUAAAGGUUUUCUUGCUGCAACAAGGAAAUGGCAACUCACUCCAGUAGUCUUGCCUGGGAAGUCCAUGGAUAGAGGAGCCUGGCAGGCUGCAGUCCGUGGGGUCUUUGCAACUACACCACCACUCUGCAAGCCAGCAGAGUGCAACCCAUAUCUUUGUCCUAGAGAUGUGACAGACUAUGUGGGUGAGCGGAAGAGACCUCAAAGCCACUUCCUAACAGCUCAGGGUCUCACAGCUUCCCAAAGUAACCAGGUGCCGAGACAGAUGACCCUACAAAACCAGUCAGGGAUGUCGGAGGAGGAACUGAGACUAUCGUGCGUGCUCGAUCAGGGAGGUGAAAGCUCACGGUAGCGCCACAGGCCAAGCUCCACCACCGGCUAAAGGUUAAGAAGCAGCUGUAGCCUUCAAGCAAGGCCAAGGCUGGAGGUCCCUAUGCUUGGAAGAGGCUGCUACGAGGCUUCUCUUUGCCUGGAAUCCUUGGCAAAACUGCAGAAAGCCCAACUGGGAAGCUGGGGGAAGAAACAGGCCAAUUUUUGGCUCUGGAGCCCAAAGGAUGGCACAUAGGUGUGUCCGUGGAUUCAGGUUUUGGUUCUCAAAGAAUCAAAGCCAGGCACUGCAUGUGUAGCUGUCUUGUCCUGGUCCCCUGAGAGAGACGAAGUGGAGUGGACUAACAUGGAGUUUAAAGCACAAAGAAUCCCAGCUCUGUCCAUCCAGACUGCUCUACCAACCCCAGUUAUUUUGAAACGAAACUCACUUUACAAAUGCAAAUGACUCACCC